rnacentral:ncRNA from 1 species
CUAAGGUUUUAUUUUAGCUUAGAAUUUUAGUUUAUUUUUUUUUUACAUGAAAAGGUUUUUAGUUUAAAUAACUUUAUUGCAGUAUUUAGUAUUAUAGAUUUGUUAAUGUAUGAUUUAGAAAUUAAUAAGAGUUUUAAUAAAAUUUGUGCCAGCAAUUGCGGUUAUACAAAUGAUGCAAUUAAGAUUUUUUGGUUAGUAAUUAAUUGUUUUUAAUUUUAAAUUUGUUUUUAGGCUUUUUAGGUGAAAUUAUAAGUCUAUUUUGAUUUUAUUUAAGUAUUUUGAAGUUAUUAAAGUUUUAUUUUAAACUAGGAUUAGAUACCCUAUUAUUUUUAUUGUAAAGUUUAAAAGUGCCUAGUUAUUAAUAGAUUAUUUUCUUGAAAAUUAAAUAAUUUGGCGGUAUUUUAGUCUAUUCAGAGGAACCUGUCCUGUAAUUGAUAGUCCACGAUUUAAUUUACUUUUUUUUUAGUUUGUAUAUCGUCGUUAUUUGAAUGUUUUAUAAGAAUUUUAAUGUUCAAUAUAUAUUAUUUUAUUUAAUGUCAGAUCAAGGUGCAGCUUAUGGAAAAGAAGAGAUGGGUUACAAUAAAUUUAUUUUUGGUUUAUUUGUUGUUAUACAUUUUAAUAAAUUGGAUUUGAAUGUAAUAUUUUUUAAUUAAUAGAUGUGAUUAUAGCUCUAGAAUAUGUACAUAUUGCCCGUCGCUCUCAUUUUAGGUGGGAUAAGUCGUAACAUAGUAGAUGUACUGGAAAGUGUAUCUAGAAAGAA